rnacentral:rRNA from 1 species
GAUGAACGCUGGCGGCGUGCUUAACACAUGCAAGUCGAACGAAGCACUUUAUUUGAUUUCCUUCGGGACUGAUUAUUUUGUGACUGAGUGGCGGACGGGUGAGUAACGCGUGGGUAACCUGCCUUGUACAGGGGGAUAACAGUUGGAAACGGCUGCUAAUACCGCAUAAGCGCACGGCAUCGCAUGAUGCAGUGUGAAAAACUCCGGUGGUAUAAGAUGGACCCGCGUUGGAUUAGCUAGUUGGUGAGGUAACGGCCCACCAAGGCGACGAUCCAUAGCCGACCUGAGAGGGUGACCGGCCACAUUGGGACUGAGACACGGCCCAAACUCCUACGGGAGGCAGCAGUGGGGAAUAUUGCACAAUGGGCGAAAGCCUGAUGCAGCGAAGCCGCGUGAGCGAAGAAGUAUUUCGGUAUGUAAAGCUCUAUAAGCAGGGAAGAUAAUGACGGUACCUGACGAAGAAGCACCGGCUAAAUACGUG